rnacentral:lncRNA from 12 species
CUGAAUCAUAUGUGCUACAGUCUAAGCAAUCUCCCCACAGAGAAAGGGGGAGCUGAGUGCCUCAGGGGCAGGAGUCUGUUUUGUGCAUGUUCUCCACAAACUAUUGAUCAGUGCUGUGAGACAAACAUAUCUUUAUGAAGUGUUUUCCUGUGCCUCAGGGGCAGGAGUCUGUUUUGUGCAUGUUCUCCACAAACUAUUGAUCGGUGCGGAAAGGAAAGGUGCGGAAAGGAAAGGUGCGGAAAGGAAAGGUGCGGAAAGGAAAGGAAAGGUGCGGAAAGGAAAGGUGCGGAAAGGAAAGGUGCGGAGAGGAAAGGAAAGGAAAGGAAAGGAAAGGAAAGGAAAGGAGAAAGGAAGAAAGGAAGGAAGGAAGGAAGGCAGAAAGAAAGAAAGGGGAAAGGGAGAAGGAAAGGGAGAAGGAAAGGGAGAAGGAAAGGGAGAAGGAAAGGGAGAAGGAAAGGGAGAAGGAAAGGGAGAAGGAAAGGGAGAAGGAAAGGGAGAAGGAAAGGGAGAAGGAAAGGGAGAAGGAAAGGGAGAAGGAAAGGGAGAAGGAAAGGGAGAAGGAAAGGGAGAAGGAAAGGGAGAAGGAAAGGGAGAAGGAAAGGGAGAAGGAAAGGGAGAAGGAAAGGGAGAAGGAAAGGGAGAAGGAAAGGGAGAAGGAAAGGGAGAAGGAAAGGGAGAAGGAAAGGGAGAAGGAAAGGGAGAAGGAAAGGGAGAAAGAGAAAGGAAGAAAGAAAAGGAAGGAAAGGCAGAAAGAAAGAAAGAAAAAGAAAAGCAUUGCUUUUGCAUGAGAGCUUCUUUGAAUUUGAGAGAUCAGUUUCAGUGUGCUUGACCACUUCUACUACUUGUUCAGCUUUUCAGAAAACAUUGGCUUCCUGGUUCUAAAA